rnacentral:rRNA from 1 species
GACGAACGCUGGCGGCGUGCUUAACACAUGCAAGUCGAACGGUAAGGCCCUUGGGGGUACACGAGUGGCGAACGGGCGAGUAACACGUGGGUGAUCUGCCCUGCACUUCGGGAUAAGCCUGGGAAACUGGGUCUAAUACCGGAUAGGACUCCUGGCUUCAUGGUUGGGGGUGGAAAGCUUUUGCGGUGUGGGAUGGGCCCGCGGCCUAUCAGUUUGUUGGUGGGGUAAUGGCCUACCAAGGCGACGACGGGUAGCCGGCCUGAGAGGGUGACCGGUCACACUGGGACUGAGAUACGGCCCAGACUCCUACGGGAGGCAGCAGUGGGGAAUAUUGCACAAUGGGCGCAAGCCUGAUGCAGCGACGCCGCGUGAGGGAUGACGGCCCUCGGGUUGUAAACCUCUUUCAGCUAUGACGAAGCGCAAGUGACGGUAGUAGCAGAAGAAGGACCGGCCAACUACGUGCCAGCAGCAGCCGCGG